GUAUUUAAUUGUCUCAAGAUUGUUUGGUGAACAUAAGGAAUCAAUGGAGAUACAGAUUUUACUGUUUUUCAUCUCUUGCUAUUAACCUUUACCUUUGGAACAUGAUGCUAAUAGAAAAUUUAUUUGCUUUCAAUGAAUAUUUUGUUCUUAAUUUUUUUCUUUUCCUUCUCCUUUAGGAUAAAAAUAAUUGAAACUGGUGCUUUUGACAAGUUGAUAUCACUCGAGUGGCUUUAUUUGGAUUCUAAUCAAUUGAUUAAACUUUCUCAUGAAACUUUUUAUCCAAUCAUUGAUUCACUCAAAGUCCUUGAUUUACAUGAUAAUCCGUUCGUCUGUCAUUGUGGUCUAGUUUGGUUUAGUGAAUGGGUUCGUGAUGAAGGUAAAUCAAUAGUCAAUAUGCCAGAUAAAACUGAAUGUCAACUGGCCCCUGAUUCACCUAA